rnacentral:rRNA from 1 species
GUAGGUGGGCAAGCGUUGUCCGGAAUUAUUGGGCGUAAAGCGCGCGCAGGGCGGUCCUUUAAGUCUGAUGUGAAAGCCUACGGCUCAACCGUGGAGGGUCAUUGGAAACUGGGGGACUUGAGUACAGAAGAGGAAAGCGGAAUUCCAAGUGUAGCGGUGAAAUGCGUAGAGAUUUGGAGGAACACCAGUGGCGAAGGCGGCUUUCUGGUCUGUAACUGACGCUGAGGCGCGAAAGCGUGGGGAGCAAACAGGAUUAGAUACCCUGGUAGUCCACGCCCGUAAACGAUGAGUGCUAAGUGUUAGGGGGUUUCCGCCCCUUAGUGCUGCAGCUAACGCAUUAAGCACUCCGCCUGGGGAGUACGGCCGCAAGGCUG